rnacentral:rRNA from 1 species
AAGGUAGCAUAAUCAUUAGUUUYUUAAUUGGAAGCUGGUAUGAAGGGUUGGAUGAGAAAGUAACUGUCUCUAUUUAAAUUUAUUAGAAUUUUAUUUUUAAGUAAAAAAGCUUAAAUAAUAGUUGAAGACGAGAAGACCCUAUAGAGUUUUAUAAAUAUAAUUAUUUAAAAUUUUAGUAUUAUAAAAAUUAAUAAUUUAUUUUAUUUAAUUGGGGUGAUUGAAAAACUAGAUUAACUUUUUUUUUAUAGAAACAUUGAUUUAUGAGUAAUUGAUCCUUUUUUUAAGAUUAUAAGAUAAAAUUAC